UGGCCUACUUGGGUCCCCUCCCAGGAUCUUGCCCUCAACUGAGGAAGCAAUGUUACAGUGCUGAUGCUGUGCUCAGCAGUAGCCAAUACAGUGGUGUGUUAUCGACACCCUUCUAGCUACCAAUGCAAAGCACAGCACUGUGAGGGCUGCUGAGGGGAAAUGAACUCCAGCUCAGCCAAACCCAGUAUAAUCACUCACAGUCUACCAUGCAGGCAUAAAAGGACAGAGUAUGCACGUGGCUCAAAAGAGGUCUUCUAAAACUAUUUGUUUAUUAGUAUUUAUUACUACAUUUUAUUAGUAUGAAUUUAGUUGUAAACUAUUAUUUUAUUACUGUUACUUUUAAUAUAAUUCCUUUUCUAGAAACUUUUUACUAAUGCAGUGUGUCUAUGUGCAGAGUUGCUCCCUUGAGAACAUACUCUCAUAAGGCAAACAGGAUAUCUUCUAUGUCAAGAAUUGUUAUGAAGAACUUACAGAUCUCCAAUUUUAAUUUUCAAUCAAUCUCCUAUACUUUACAACUUAAUCCAGCAGAUAUAUAUGCUAUGCCUCCUCAACUGCAUUUCUUCUAUGUCACACAUCCUGUAAAUUAUGACUGUGGUAUUUAAAAACUUUUUAAGCAAACAAAGGAUUGCUUAAUAGUUUAAUGUCUGUAAUAUAUAUCCCAAGUUUGGGCAUUUCACUUCAGGGCUAUGAGAUUAGCAACUAUACAGAAUUAGUAGUUGCAUAAGAAAACAGCAUCUUCAAAUGAGAAGACUCGCGGAUCUGCAGAAUGAGUUUUUAUCCAGAUGCAAGUUUAGAAAUUUCACUGUUGAAAAUGUCAUCACUGAACUACAAAGUAUCACAAAGAGAAAAGGAGAAGGAGACAUCAGUGAAACCUCCAAGUCUGUUACUAGGCUCCUCUGGUCAUGAGAUGCAGUGCUAAUUGCAAGUAACUUGAAAAUACUUCACAAAACUGAAUGAACGGGCAAAAGAAUGGCAUGAACAGGCAAAAGAAUGGCAUGAACAGGCAAAAGAAUGGCAUGAGCUUCAAGACCUGGGGCUGUUUAGUCUCACCUCUGCCUGGUAAGAUCAUGGAGCAGAUCCUCCUAGAACCUAUUGCUAAGGCAUGUGGAAAACAGAGAGGCAAAUGGUGACAGCCAAUACACCUUCACUAAGGGCAAAUUAUGCCUGACAUAUUUGGUAGCUUUCUAUAAGAGGGCUACAGAGUUGGUGGGUAAGGGAAGAGUGGCUGAUAUCAUCUACCUGGACUUGUCCAAAGCAUUUAGCACUGUCCCACACAACAUCCUUGUCUCUAAAAUGGAAAGACAUGGACUUGAGAGAUGGACCACUCACUGGAAAAGAAACUGGCUGGAUAGCUGCACUCCAACCAUUGUGAUCAAUAGCCUGGUGUCCAUGUGAAGACUAGCUAUGGGUGGUGUUCCUAAAGGUCUGUAUUUGGACCAAUAUUAUUUAACAUCAUUAUUAGGGACAUAGCAAGUUAAUGGAUGACUAAAAAGAGAUUGGCUUCGAACAGAUACAAGAAAGUAUUACUUUACACAUCAGUCAGAACUCUUAUGGAACUGGUUGCCACAAAAGACUGUUAAGGAAACCAGGACAAUCAGGUUCAGGAAAAAACCCCAAACAAACAACUAAAAGGAUGAAAUCAUAAAACAAAUCCAGUCCACAAAUGAGCAUUACCAGACCAGGGCAUGUAUAUGCUCUAAUAUCUCUUAUACAGCAACUGCAGAUGCUGAGGGAAUAAGUAAGAAGAGACUACAGAAAACACACAACUAGUUUGCAUUCCAUAGACAGCACCCCUAUUGCAAUGAAUGGACAGAGGACUCAAAUGUAUCAGUGGUUUUACCCACUAAGGCAUUUCUGUUCUUAGAUGCAUAAUCCCACUUACUUUCCCUCUAAUGUUUUGUUGAACAUAGCUGAGUAUGUGCAACGAACUAGUGUUUCACUUUAGAAUGCAAGAUUAAAAAUUCAUGUGAGACAGUAGUUUAGACAUUUCACACCACCUUCAGCACUCUUUAAUUUCAAACUAUCAUCAGCUACUGUACUUGCAUUUGCUGAAGCUGAGUAAAUGUCCAAAUUAAUAGUCUCAACAAUAUAAGUUCACAAUUCUCUAAUGUGGAGUAGAACAGCUACUUCAUCAAGCCAAUGUAUUUUUUUAUUUAGUUAUAUAAAAGCACAGGUGAUUUUUAGUUACAACUUUUAACAUAGAUAGACUUUAAACAAUGGUUAGAUUUUGCCAUCCAUCUUAUAAGUUAGCAUAAAGGCUUUUUCAAGAUUUCAUUCUUUUUAAGUUUUAUUUGUCAG